rnacentral:rRNA from 1 species
GACGAACGCUGGCGGCGUGCUUAACACAUGCAAGUCGAACGGAGUUACGUAUGAAGUAUUUCGGUACGGACUAUGUAACUUAGUGGCGAACGGGUGAGUAACACGUGGGCAACCUGCCCUUAACCGGGGGAUAACAUUGUGAAAACAGUGCUAAUACCGCAUAACAGAGUAUCGGGCAUCCGAUAUUUUUAAAAGGAGCAAUCCGGUUUAGGAUGGGCCCGCGUCCAAUUAGCUAGUUGGUGAGGUAACGGCUCACCAAGGCUACGAUUGGUAGCCGAACUGAGAGGUUGAUCGGCCACAUUGGGACUGAGACACGGCCCAGACUCCUACGGGAGGCAGCAGUGGGGAAUAUUGGGCAAUGGGCGAAAGCCUGACCCAGCGACGCCGCGUGAAGGAUGAAGGUCUUCGGGAUUGUAAACUUCUUUUGAUCAGGGGAAGAAAGAAAUGACGGUACCUGAAGAACAAGCCACGGCUAACUACGUG